GGUUAAGCGACUAAGCGUACACGGUGGAUGCCCUGGCAGUCAGAGGCGAUGAAGGACGUGCUAAUCUGCGAUAAGCGUCGGUGAGGUGAUAUGAACCGUUAUAACCGGCGAUUUCCGAAUGGGGAAACCCAGUGUGUUUCGACACACUAUCAUUAACUGAAUCCAUAGGUUAAUGAGGCGAACCGGGGGAACUGAAACAUCUAAGUACCCCGAGGAAAAGAAAUCAACCGAGAUUCCCCCAGUAGCGGCGAGCGAACGGGGAGGAGCCCAGAGCCUGAAUCAGUGUGUGUGUUAGUGGAAGCGUCUGGAAAGGCGCGCGAUACAGGGUGACAGCCCCGUACACAAAAAUGCACAUAUUGUGAGCUCGAUGAGUAGGGCGGGACACGUGGUAUCCUGUCUGAAUAUGGGGGGACCAUCCUCCAAGGCUAAAUACUCCUGACUGACCGAUAGUGAACCAGUACCGUGAGGGAAAGGCGAAAAGAACCCCGGCGAGGGGAGUGAAAAAGAACCUGAAACCGUGUACGUACAAGCAGUGGGAGCCUCUUAAUGGGGUGACUGCGUACCUUUUGUAUAAUGGGUCAGCGACUUAUAUUCUGUAGCAAGGUUAACCGAAUAGGGGAGCCGAAGGGAAACCGAGUCUUAACUGGGCGUUAAGUUGCAGGGUAUAGACCCGAAACCCGGUGAUCUAGCCAUGGGCAGGUUGAAGGUUGGGUAACACUAACUGGAGGACCGAACCGACUAAUGUUGAAAAAUUAGCGGAUGACUUGUGGCUGGGGGUGAAAGGCCAAUCAAACCGGGAGAUAGCUGGUUCUCCCCGAAAGCUAUUUAGGUAGCGCCUCGUGAAUUCAUCUCCGGGGGUAGAGCACUGUUUCGGCAAGGGGGUCAUCCCGACUUACCAACCCGAUGCAAACUGCGAAUACCGGAGAAUGUUAUCAUGGGAGACACACGGCGGGUGCUAACGUCCGUCGUGAAGAGGGAAACAACCCAGACCGCCAGCUAAGGUCCCAAAGUCAUGGUUAAGUGGGAAACGAUGUGGGAAGGCCCAGACAGCCAGGAUGUUGGCUUAGAAGCAGCCAUCAUUUAAAGAAAGCGUAAUAGCUCACUGGUCGAGUCGGCCUGCGCGGAAGAUGUAACGGGGCUAAACCAUGCACCGAAGCUGCGGCAGCGACACUAUGUGUUGUUGGGUAGGGGAGCGUUCUGUAAGCCUGUGAAGGUGGCCUGUGAGGGUUGCUGGAGGUAUCAGAAGUGCGAAUGCUGACAUAAGUAACGAUAAAGCGGGUGAAAAGCCCGCUCGCCGGAAGACCAAGGGUUCCUGUCCAACGUUAAUCGGGGCAGGGUGAGUCGACCCCUAAGGCGAGGCCGAAAGGCGUAGUCGAUGGGAAACAGGUUAAUAUUCCUGUACUUGGUGUUACUGCGAAGGGGGGACGGAGAAGGCUAUGUUGGCCGGGCGACGGUUGUCCCGGUUUAAGCGUGUAGGCUGGUUUUCCAGGCAAAUCCGGAAAACCAAGGCUGAGGCGUGAUGACGAGGCACUACGGUGCUGAAGCGACAAAUGCCCUGCUUCCAGGAAAAGCCUCUAAGCAUCAGGUAACAUCAAAUCGUACCCCAAACCGACACAGGUGGUCAGGUAGAGAAUACCAAGGCGCUUGAGAGAACUCGGGUGAAGGAACUAGGCAAAAUGGUGCCGUAACUUCGGGAGAAGGCACGCUGAUAUGUAGGUGAAGCGACUUGCUCGUGGAGCUGAAAUCAGUCGAAGAUACCAGCUGGCUGCAACUGUUUAUUAAAAACACAGCACUGUGCAAACACGAAAGUGGACGUAUACGGUGUGACGCCUGCCCGGUGCCGGAAGGUUAAUUGAUGGGGUUAGCGGUAACGCGAAGCUCUUGAUCGAAGCCCCGGUAAACGGCGGCCGUAACUAUAACGGUCCUAAGGUAGCGAAAUUCCUUGUCGGGUAAGUUCCGACCUGCACGAAUGGCGUAAUGAUGGCCAGGCUGUCUCCACCCGAGACUCAGUGAAAUUGAACUCGCUGUGAAGAUGCAGUGUACCCGCGGCAAGACGGAAAGACCCCGUGAACCUUUACUAUAGCUUGACACUGAACAUUGAGCCUUGAUGUGUAGGAUAGGUGGGAGGCUUUGAAGUGUGGACGCCAGUCUGCAUGGAGCCGGCCUUGAAAUACCACCCUUUAAUGUUUGAUGUUCUAACGUGGGCCCCUUACCGGGGUUGCGGACAGUGUCUGGUGGGUAGUUUGACUGGGGCGGUCUCCUCCUAAAGAGUAACGGAGGAGCACGAAGGUUGGCUAAUCCUGGUCGGACAUCAGGAGGUUAGUGCAAUGGCAUAAGCCAGCUUGACUGCGAGCGUGACGGCGCGAGCAGGUGCGAAAGCAGGUCAUAGUGAUCCGGUGGUUCUGAAUGGAAGGGCCAUCGCUCAACGGAUAAAAGGUACUCCGGGGAUAACAGGCUGAUACCGCCCAAGAGUUCAUAUCGACGGCGGUGUUUGGCACCUCGAUGUCGGCUCAUCACAUCCUGGGGCUGAAGUAGGUCCCAAGGGUAUGGCUGUUCGCCAUUUAAAGUGGUACGCGAGCUGGGUUUAGAACGUCGUGAGACAGUUCGGUCCCUAUCUGCCGUGGGCGCUGGAGAACUGAGGGGGGCUGCUCCUAGUACGAGAGGACCGGAGUGGACGCAUCACUGGUGUUCGGGUUGUCAUGCCAAUGGCACUGCCCGGUAGCUAAAUGCGGAAGAGAUAAGUGCUGAAAGCAUCUAAGCACGAAACUUGCCCCGAGAUGAGUUCUCCCUGACCCUUUAAGGGUCCUGAAGGAACGUUGAAGACGACGACGUUGAUAGGCCGGGUGUGUAAGCGCAGCGAUGCGUUGAGCUAACCGGUACUAAUGAACCGUGAGGCUUAACCUU
rnacentral:rRNA from 2 species